UCUCUUUUUAGAUAUACGUGCUGCUGUGUAGCAGUUAAAUGACCUCAAAACUAAGAAUAGCAAUUAGCAUGAUUAUGAGGUUAUGAAAGGUGAACUGCAAUCAUGAUGCAUCAAAUCCAAUCAAUGCAUUUGCUUCCUGAUUGGCACUUCUAUAUUUGAAUCCUGACUCCUGAGCCAGCCUUCAUCAUCAAGAAUAACAAAUGCAAGUUUUGCUUCGUGUUGGUAUCUUUCUAUCAGCAAGUCCCAACUUCUUGGAUACCAGACUAUCAACAUCGUCCUGUUUCAUUGGAGGAUCCAUCGACGUCGGGCGAUUCAUCUCUUCUUCCCCUCCUUUAAAUCCCAUCUCUUUCCUCGUGUACAAACCAUGUGAACGUGGGUGUAUUCACGAGGACACCCUUCCUUCUAUCCCGUGAAUGGCGUAUUCAACUUUCCUGCAGCUGGAGAACUUGGAGUUGCCUGGCUGAAAGGUAGAAAACAUUU